rnacentral:rRNA from 1 species
UGCCUACGGGAGGCAGCAGUGGGGGAUAUUGCACAAUGGGGGAAACCCUGAUGCAGCGACGCCGCGUGUGGGAAGACGGUCUUCUGGAUUGUAAACCACUGUCCCCAGGGACGAAAAUGACGGUACCUGGGGAGGAAGCUCCGGCUAACUACGUGCCAGCAGCCGCGGUAAUACGUAGGGAGCAAGCGUUGUCCGGAUUUAUUGGGCGUAAAGCGAGUGCAGGCGGUUCAAUAAGUCUGAUGUGAAAGCCUU